AACAAAAAAAGAUGUUGCAAGGGCUUUGUUUGUAGUUGAUUCCAGUCUAGGAAAGUAUUUCAAACAUUUCAAAAGAAACCAUAUUUAAAAUUGAAAAAUAAUAUAUAUCUUGAGUACAGUAAAGUUAGAUUUUCAGAAGCUAUUCGGUUCAUCGAUGUAUUGGUCUUGAAGAACUAAACGUUUAAAAUGUGCACCCACUUAUUCUACCUUCAGCUUUGUAAACACUUUAUUGUUAGCGUUACAGGAAAACUGCAGGACAGGUAGAACAGGUGACAGGGUGUAGGUGUCAGGUUUCAUUGUUGACUGGUGGCUUUCUAGAGUGGAUCCCGAAAGACUCAAAACGCACGAUUUCCAUUUGUAACCAUGGCGCCUAAAUAUGAUGGCUUGUCCCACUGUAAGCUGGCGCUGAUAUUUGCUGUGCUGAUGGACCUUUUGGGUGUGAUAUCUCUACUGCUGGGGGUCUUUGCUCCUCUUGAGAUCCAUGGCCAAGACUUUGGUGAUCUGCUGGUGUACUCAGGAGCCCUGCUGGUGCUUCUGUCCCUGGCUGGCUGGGUUAUGUGGUACAGCGGCAAUAUUGAGGGUCUAACCACCAAAAAGGAGUUGGGGGGAACUGUGGGUGGAGCUGUGGACCGUCUUGCCCGCUCACUUAGCCGCAGGAUACGGAUCCCAAGGACUCGCAGCAGCCCAACAUAGAAGAUGGAUCCCAAAGCUACCAAUGACUAAGUGGUUGACUCUGACUGCAUGAAGGGCUCUAUUUAACCAGGUGGCAGGCCACAAAAGCCUGAAGCAAAGGAGCAUCAUUUCUGGCUGUUAUUCUUUCACAAACACCUAUAACGCACUAUGUGAAAAUUGAAAAGAUUAAUCUGCUAUUAUGUUGUCAAUUUCCAAUGAAGUUUUUCAUUGAUUUAUUGACAUAACUAUUACAGAAACACCAUUUAGAAUAAAAGUUACUAUGUUAACUACUGAA